AAUAAAUGUUGUUUACGUACCUAAUAGGUUUAAUAGAAUUUUACUAUUGCCAUGUAAACGUAUGACAAAUAAAAUCUUCAAAUAUUUUUAAUUUAUCAAGAAAGCAUUAUCUUGUUCUAAUGUUUUUGAUUUCAAAAUUGUAUGAAUAAAUACAGUUUUUUCUUUAUGCAUUUCUUUACUUUAUAUUUUAUAUUAUAUUUUGCUGAUGAAAAUGUGUUUAUGGACAGGUACCUCAACUCGACGUUGCUGUAUCUCCGGUCCAAUAAUAACAAUGGCGGUAUCAGACGUCGCUCCCAAACCGGUCGACAUCCAUCUGCAUAACUCAUUCCGCAAGAAUGAGCGGUAUAGUUUGAAAACUUACCAAAGUUAUCUGGUGGAUGUCGAUAUGUUGGUGAGCAGCCGUUGCACAUAGGUCUGAUGUACCUAUGGAAAGUUAUUAUUGGAUCGGUCAUAAUAUUACGUUGAGAAGUUAUCUGUCCAUAAACUUAUUUUCAGAUUUGUAGGCCAAUUCCGUUGCCAUUUUUUAAUCAUUCUUUGUUUUUAUUAAGGUGGAGGUGUAACAGCAUUUUAGGGGCUAUUGUAAUUCCCACUUCCAGGACUUUAUCAUACAUACAGCCGACAACCCGAUGACCUA